AUACGGAGGAUGCAAGCGUUAUCCGGAUUUAUUGGGUUUAAAGGGUGCGUAGGCUGUUCGGAAAGUCAGGGGUGAAAGCCCGGCGCCUAACGCCGGAACUGCCUUUGAUACUUCCGAGCUGGAAUACGGAUGCCGUGGGAGGCAUGAGUAGUGUAGCGGUGAAAUGCAUAGAUAUUACUCAGAACACCGAUUGCGAAGGCAUCUCACGAAUCCGUCAUUGACGCUGAGGCACGAAAGCGUGGGGAUCAAACAGGAUUAGAUACCCUGGUAGUCCACGCAGUAAACGAUGAUGACUAACCGUCGGCGAUACACAGUCGGUGGCCAAGCGAAAGCGAUAAGUCAUCCACCUGGGGAGUACGUUCGCAAGAAUGAAACUCAAAUGAAUUGACGGGG
rnacentral:rRNA from 1 species